rnacentral:rRNA from 1 species
GAUGAACGCUGGCGGCGUGCUUAACACAUGCAAGUCGAACGGAAAGGCCCUGCUUUUGUGGGGUGCUCGAGUGGCGAACGGGUGAGUAACACGUGAGUAACCUGCCCUUUACUUUGGGAUAACUUCAGGAAACUGGGGCUAAUACCGGAUAGGAGCUCCUGCUGCAUGGUGGGGGUUGGAAAGUUUCGGCGGUUGGGGAUGGACUCGCGGCUUAUCAGCUUGUUGGUGGGGUAGUGGCUUACCAAGGCUUUGACGGGUAGCCGGCCUGAGAGGGUGACCGGCCACAUUGGGACUGAGAUACGCCCCAGACUCCAACGGGAGGCAGCAGUGGGGAAUAUGGCACAAUGGGCGGAAGCCUGAUGCAGCAACGCCGCGUGCGGGAUGACGGCCUUCGGGUUGUAAACCGCUUUCGCCUGUGACGAAGCGUGAGUGACGGUAAUGGGUAAAGAAGCACCGGCUAACUACGUG